AGUAAAGUUAUUUAAUAUUAUUAUAUUAUAUAAGCUAUGUAUAUUUUAUAUGGUUUUUCAGAGUUGAGUUAUGAUACUUUUACAAGUAUCACCAUCAUGGUGCUAUUAGGUUUUAAGCCAUUGGAUCUACUUUUUGAUUAUUAAUAGCCCUUGGAUUAAACACUAUUCCACCUAUCACCACCUACUACUACCUACCACCAUCAUCUCAACCUCACAUCUCUCCAUCCAAGGGCUAAAAACACACAAGUAUCACUCCCAUGAUACUUUUACAAGUAUUCUAGCCCUACUCUGGUUUUUCAUAAUAUUAUUCGAUGAGGAGUUAUUAGAGUGUCACAUCUGGAAAAAAGAUAAUAUUUUUUUUGU
rnacentral:lncRNA from 1 species